UACGGAGGUGGCAAGCGUUGCUCGGAAUCACUGGGCGUAAAGGGCGCGUAGGCGGGGAGGUAAGUCGGGUGUGAAAUCCCUUGGCCCAACCGAGGAACUGCGCCCGAGACUGCUUCUCUUGAGUCCCGGAGAGGAAGGUGGAAUUCCCGGUGUAGCGGUGAAAUGUGUAGAGAUCGGGAGGAACACCGGUGGCGAAGGCGGCCUUCUGGACGGUGACUGACGCUGAGGCGCGAAAGCGGGGUGGGACGCAAACGGG
rnacentral:rRNA from 1 species